GGGGACGCAGUAGGAUAGGCGAAGCGUGCGAUUGGAUUGCACGUCUAAGCAGUAAGGCUGAGUAUUAGGCAAAUCCGGUACUCGUUAAGGCUGAGCUGUGAUGGGGAGAAGACAUUGUGUCUUCGAGUCGUUGAUUUCACACUGCCGAGAAAAGCCUCUAGAUAGAAAAUAGGUGCCCGUACCGCAAACCGACACAGGUAGUCAAGAUGAGAAUUCUAAGGUGAGCGAGCGAACUCUCGUUAAGGAACUCGGCAAAAUGACCCCGUAACUUCGGGAGAAGGGGUGCUCUUUAGGGUUAACGCCCAUAAGAGCCGCAGUGAAUAGGCCCAAGCGACUGUUUAUCAAAAACACAGGUCUCUGCUAAACCGUAAGGUGAUGUAUAGGGGCUGACGCCUGCCCGGUGCUGGAAGGUUAAGAGGAGUGGUUAGCUUCUGCGAAGCUACGAAUCGAAGCCCCAGUAAACGGCGGCCGUAACUAUAACGGUCCUAAGGUAGCGAAAUUCCUUGUCGGGUAAGUUCCGACCCGCACGAAAGGCGUAACGAUUUGGGCACUGUCUCAACGAGAGACUCGGUGAAAUCAUAGUACCUGUGAAGAUGCAGGUUACCCGCGACAGGACGGAAAGACCCCGUGGAGCUUUACUGUAGCCUGAUAUUGAAAUUCGGCACAGCUUGUACAGGAUAGGUAGGAGCCUUUGAAACGUGAGCGCUAGCUUACGUGGAGGCGCUGGUGGGAUACUACCCUAGCUGUGUUGGCUUUCUAACCCGCACCACUUAUCGUGGUGGGAGACAGUGUCAGGCGGGCAGUUUGACUGGGGCGGUCGCCUCCUAAAAGGUAACGGAGGCGCUCAAAGGUUCCCUCAGAAUGGUUGGAAAUCAUUCAUAGAGUGUAAAGGCAUAAGGGAGCUUGACUGCGAGACCUACAAGUCGAGCAGGGUCGAAAGACGGACUUAGUGAUCCGGUGGUUCCGCAUGGAAGGGCCAUCGCUCAACGGAUAAAAGCUACCCCGGGGAUAACAGGCUUAUCUCCCCCAAGAGUUCACAUCGACGGGGAGGUUUGGCACCUCGAUGUCGGCUCAUCGCAUCCUGGGGCUGUAGUCGGUCCCAAGGGUUGGGCUGUUCGCCCAUUAAAGCGGUACGCGAGCUGGGUUCAGAACGUCGUGAGACAGUUCGGUCCCUAUCCGUCGUGGGCGUAGGAAAUUUGAGAGGAGCUGUCCUUAGUACGAGAGGACCGGGAUGGACAUACCUCUGGUGUACCAGUUGUCGUGCCAACGGCAUAGCUGGGUAGCUAUGUGUGGACGGGAUAAGUGCUGAAAGCAUCUAAGCAUGAAGCCCCCCUCAAGAUGAGAUUUCCCAACUUCGGUUAUAAGAUCCCU
rnacentral:rRNA from 1 species